GUUUGUUUGGAGUUAUAAAGAAUUUAACCUGCCCCCUGAUUAACUACUAAUUAAAGGGCCGCAGUAUUAUAACUGUGCAAAGGUAGCAUAAUCAUUAGGUUUUUAAUUGAAAUCUCGUAUGAAUGGUUGGACAAAAGAAAGACUCUCUUUAUAUUAAGUUUUGAAUUUAACUUUUAAGUGAAAAGGCUUAAAUAUUCUAAAGGGACGAUAAGACCCUAUAAAACUUUACAUUGUCAUUAAUUUUGAUUGAAUUUAUGAAAUAAAAAUUUUAUUUGAUUAUUUGUUAUGUUGGGGAGACAUAAGUAAAAUAUUUUUUUAACUGCUUGAUAGUUAUACAAUUAUUAGUGAAUAAGUAGAAGAUCCUUUUUAAGAUUAGUAGAUUAAGUUACUUUAGGGAUAACAGUGUAAUUUCUUUUGAGAGUUCUUAUCGAGAAAGAAGGUUGCAACCUCGAUGUUGAAUUAAAAUAUCUAUAUAAUGGAGAGGUUAUAUAAGAAGGUCUGUUCGACCUUGAAAAUUUUACAUGAUUUGAGUUCAAACCGGUGUGAG
rnacentral:rRNA from 1 species